rnacentral:rRNA from 1 species
AGGAUCUAGGCCUGAAGCUGUCCGGCCACUUGGGACUGAGAUACGGCCCAUACUCCUACGGGAGGCAGCAGUGGGGAAUAUUGCACAAUGGGCGCAAGCCUGAUGCAGCGACGCCGCGUGAGGGAUGGAGGCCUUCGGGUUGUAAACCUCUUUUAUCGGGGAGCAAGCGAGAGUGAGUUUACCCGUUGAAUAAGCACCGGCUAACUACGUGCCAGCAGCCGCGGUAAUACGUAGGGUGCAAGCGUUAUCCGGAAUUAUUGGGCGUAAAGGGCUCGUAGGCGGUUCGUCGCGUCCGGUGUGAAAGUCCAUCGCUUAACGGUGGAUCCGCGCCGGGUACGGGCGGGCUUGAGUGCGGUAGGGGAGACUGGAAUUCCCGGUGUAACGGUGGAAUGUGUAGAUAUCGGGAAGAACACCAAUGGCGAAGGCAGGUCUCUGGGCCGUUACUGACGCUGAGGAGCGAAAGCGUGGGGAGCGAACAGGAUUAGAUACCCUGGUAGUCCACGCCGUAAACGGUGGAUGCUGGAUGUGGGGCCCGUUCCACGGGUUCCGUGUCGGAGCUAACGCGUUAAGCAUCCCGCCUGGGGAGUACGGCCGCAAGGCUAAAACUCAAAGAAAUUGACGGGGGCCCGCACAAGCGGCGGAGCAUGCGGAUUAAUUCGAUGCAACGCGAAGAACCUUACCUGGGCUUGACAUGUUCCCGACGGUCGUAGAGAUACGGCUUCCCUUCGGGGCGGGUUCACAGGUGGUGCAUGGUCGUCGUCAGCUCGUGUCGUGAGAUGUUGGGUUAAGUCCCGCAACGAGCGCAACCCUCGCCCCGUGUUGCCAGCGGAUUAUGCCGGGAACUCACGGGGGACCGCCGGGGUUACUCGGGAGAGGGGUGGGGGAUGACGUCAGAUCAUCAUGCCCCUUUACGUCAGGGCUUCACGCAUGCUANCAUGGGCGGUACAANCGGAUGCGACGCGGCGAACNCGGAGCGGAUCCCNUGAAAACNGUCUCAGUUUCGGAUCGCAGUCUGCAACUCGACUGCGNUGAAAGGGCGAGUCGCUAGUAAUCGCGAAUCAGCACGGUCCCGGGGGAAUCGGUUCCCGGGCCUUGUACCACCGCCGUCCAGNUCAUGAAAGUGGGGCGGACCCCAAGCCGGGG